UACGAAGGGGGCUAGCGUUGUUCGGAAUUACUGGGCGUAAAGCGCACGUAGGCGGGUUUGUAAGUCGGGGGUGAAAUCCCAGGGCUCAACCCUGGAACUGCCUUCUAAACUGCAAGCCUGGAGGUCAGGAGAGGCGAGUGGAAUACCGAGUGUAGAGGUGAAAUUCGUAGAUAUUCGGUGGAACACCAGUGGCGAAGGCGACUCGCUGGACUGAUACUGACGCUGAGGUGCGAAAGCGUGGGGAGCAAACAGG
rnacentral:rRNA from 1 species